rnacentral:rRNA from 1 species
GCCUAACACAUGCAAGUCGCGCGGGCAGUAGCAAUACUGUUAGCGGCGGACGGGUGAGGAACACAUAGGAAUCUGCCUCAGAGCGGGGGAUAGCCCAGGGAAACUUGGAGCAAUACCGCAUGAUGUCGCAAGACCAAAGCUGGGGACCGCAAGGCCUAGCACUCUGAGAGGAGCCUAUGUCUGAUUAGCUAGUUGGUAGGGUAAAGGCAUACCAAGGCGACGAUCAGUAACUGGUCUGAGAGGACGAUCAGUCACACCGGAACUGAGACACGGUCCGGACUCCUACGGGAGGCAGCAGUGGGGAAUAUUGGACAAUGGGCGCAAGCCUGAUCCAGCAAUGCCGCGUGUGUGAAGAAGGCCUUCGGGUUGUAAAGCACUUUAAGCAGGGAAGAAAAAACUCGGUCUAAUACAUCGAGUCUUGACGGUACCUGAAGAAUAAGCACCGGCUAACUCUGUGCCAGCAGCCGCGGUAAUACAGAGGGUGCUAGCGUUAAUCGGAUUUACUGGGCGUAAAGCGUGUGUAGGUGGUUAUUCAAGUCAGUUGUGAAAUCCCUGGGCUUAACCUGGGAACUGCUUCUGAGACUGAAUGACUAGAGUACGGUAGAGGGUGGUGGAAUUUCCGGUGUAGCGGUGAAAUGCGUAGAUAUCGGAAGGAACAUCAAUGGCGAAGGCAGCCACCUGGGCCUGUACUGACACUGAGACACGAAAGCGUGGGGAUCAAACAGGAUUAGAUACCCUGGUAGUCCACGCCGUAAACGAUGAGAACUUGACGUCGGUUUGCUCUGCAAGUCGGUGUCGUAGCUAACGCGAUAAGUUCUCCGCCUGGGGAGUACGGCCGCAAGGUUGAAACUCAAAGGAAUUGACGGGGGCCCGCACAAGCGGUGGAGUAUGUGGUUUAAUUCGAUGUAACGCGAAGAACCUUACCUGGGCUUGACAUGCUAGGAAUCCUGC